rnacentral:rRNA from 1 species
UACGAAGGGUGCAAGCGUUAAUCGGAAUUACUGGGCGUAAAGGGUGCGUAGGCGGUUGUUUAAGUCUGCCGUGAAAUCCCCGGGCUCAACCUGGGAAUGGCGGUGGAUACUGGAUAGCUAGAGUGUGUCAGAGGAUGGUGGAAUUCCCGGUGUAGCGGUGAAAUGCGUAGAGAUCGGGAGGAACAUCAGUGGCGAAGGCGGCCAUCUGGGACAACACUGACGCUGAAGCACGGAAAGCGUGGGGAGCAAACAGG